GCACUUUCUGGCUUCUGUGGCUUCAUGGCUGCCAACCUGUAUGCCCGCUCCAUCUUCGGUGAAGACGCGCUGGCCAAUGUCAGCAUUGAGAAGCCCAUCCACCUGGGUCCUGAUGCCCCUGUCAACGGACACAUCCGCAUCCGGGCCAAGAGCCAGGGUAUGGCAUUGAGUCUGGGUGACAAGAUCAACCUUUCCCAGAAAAAAACAUCUGUAUAAAGUCAACUGAAAACCAGCAGUCCAACUGAGAACUCCACAUCACUGGACAAGAUUCAUCUGCAAAGAAAUGUGCUUUCUGCUAGUCCUCUCUAGUCUCGUCUGUCUCUGGCCAUAAAGCGCUACAAUAUUUUUUUGAUGGCCAUUUUGAUUAAGUAUUGUUCUAUGUGUGUAUGAGAAAUGGUUUUACACCUCCUGUGUCAGGACGAAACUCCCUCUUAUUGUCCUCCAAGUGAUAUCCCUGGCCUUUCUUUCAUUUUCAAUAAACAUGACACAUAUAACAAAACAUACUC